GCAGGUGCGAAAGCAGGUCAUAGUGAUCCGGUGGUUCUGAAUGGAAGGGCCAUCGCUCAACGGAUAAAAGGUACUCCGGGGAUAACAGGCUGAUACCGCCCAAGAGUUCAUAUCGACGGCGGUGUUUGGCACCUCGAUGUCGGCUCAUCACAUCCUGGGGCUGAAGUAGGUCCCAAGGGUAUGGCUGUUCGCCAUUUAAAGUGGUACGCGAGCUGGGUUUAGAACGUCGUGAGACAGUUCGGUCCCUAUCUGCCGUGGGCGCUGGAGAACUGAGGGGGGCUGCUCCUAGUACGAGAGGACCGGAGUGGACGCAUCACUGGUGUUCGGGUUGUCAUGCCAAUGGCACUGCCCGGUAGCUAAAUGCGGAAGAGAUAAGUGCUGAAAGCAUCUAAGCACGAAACUUGCCCCGA
rnacentral:rRNA from 2 species